rnacentral:lncRNA from 1 species
AUUAUUUCUGGCUGGGUACUCUGCUGACAUAAUCUAAUGUUUUGCUUUCGUUGUAAAGCCUUUUUGAAAUCGGACAGUGUGGUUAGAUUAACGAGAGUCUCAUCUUUAAAACCUGUUGGGGCUCGGGGGCAGUAUUGAGACAUUUUGAAAAAAAUAUGUGCCCAUUUUUAACUGCCUCCUACACCAACUCAGAAGCUAGGAUAUGCAUAUUAUUGACACAUUCGGAUAGAAAACACUCUGAAUUUUCUAAAACAGUUUGAAUGGUGUCUGUAAGUAUAACAAAACUCAUAUUGCAGGCAAAAACCUGUGAAAAAUAGAUUUUAAAAAAAAAUUGAAUUUUGUGACUGUACUAUUUAGUGUCAUUGUUUUAUAGAUACCAUAGUGAGAAAGGAUUCAUUUCGCAACACCUACGGCUUCCACUAGAUGUCAACGAUCUUUAUAAAGUUGUUUGAAGCGUCUAUGAUAAACAGAGAGCAAAUUAGAAUCCAAGGAAGUUGACAUGUCAUCACUUCAUUUUUUUGCGCCUGUGCAUAAAUCUGAGAAGCAAACCACAUUUGUUCCGGACCUGGGAUGCCUUCCGGACCUGGGAUGCCUGCCUUCUGAUGGAGAUAAUCAAAGAUCUAUCCGCUGCCUUCAACACUGUGAACCAUCAGAUCCUCCUCUCCACCCUCUCAGUACUGGGCAUCUCUGGCUCUGCACACUCUUGGAUUGUAUCCUACCUGGCAGGCCGCUCCUACCAGGUGAUGUGGAGAGGAUCUCUGUCUGCACCAUGUACUCUCACAACUGGUAUCCCUCAGAGCUCAGUUCUAGGCCCUCUCCUCCUCUCUGUACACUGACAACUCCACGAUUUCCCCCUCCCAGAGUGCAAAGAACCCUGACGUGACCCUG